rnacentral:rRNA from 1 species
GACGAACGCUGGCGGCGUGCUUAACACAUGCAAGUCGUACGGUAAGGCCCUUUCGGGGGUACACGAGUGGCGAACGGGUGAGUAACACGUGAGUAACCUGCCCACAACUUUGGGAUAACGCUAGGAAACUGGUGCUAAUACUGGAUAUGUGCUCCUGCUGCAUGGUGGGGGUUGGAAAGCUCCGGCGGUUGUGGAUGGACUCGCGGCCUAUCAGCUUGUUGGUGGGGUAGUGGCCUACCAAGGCGGCGACGGGUAGCCGGCCUGAGAGGGUGACCGGCCACAUUGGGACUGAGAUACGGCCCAGACUCCUACGGGAGGCAGCAGUGGGGAAUAUUGCACAAUGGGCGCAAGCCUGAUGCAGCAACGCCGCGUGCGGGAUGACGGCCUUCGGGUUGUAAACCGCUUUCAGCAGGGACGAAGCUUUUUGUGACGGGACCUGCAGAAGAAGCACCGGCUAACUACG